rnacentral:rRNA from 1 species
GGCGGAGGGUGGAUUAACACUUGGGCAACUUGCUUGUAAGACUGGGUUACCUUCGGAAAACCGAAGCUAUUACCGGAUAGGUUCUUCUCCUUCAUGGGAGAUGAUUGAAAGAUGGUUUCGGCUAUCUCUUACAGAUGGGCCCGCGGUGCAUUAGCUAGUUGGUGAGGUAACGUCUCACCAAGGCAACGAUGCAUAGCCGACCUGAGAGGGGGAUCGGCCACACUGGGACUGAGACACGGCCCAGACUCCUACGGGAGGCAGCAGUAGGGAAUCUUCCGCAAUGGACGAAAGUCUGACGGAGCCACGCCGCGUGAGUGAUGAAGUUUUUCGGGUCGUAAAACUCUGUUGUUAGGGAAGAACAAGCACGAGAGUAACUGCUCGUACCUUGACGGUACCUAACCAGAAAGCCACGGCUAACUACGUGCCAGCAGCCGCGGUAAUACGUAGGUGGCAAGCGUUAUCCAGAAUUAUUGGGCGUAAAGCGCGCGCAGGCCGUUUUCUUAAGUCUGAUGUG